UACGGGGGGGGCAAGCGUUGUUCGGAAUUAUUGGGCGUAAAGAGCUCGUAGGCGGUCUGUCGCGUCGAUCGUGAAAACUCGGGGCUUAACCCCGGGCCUGCAGUGGGUACGGGCAGACUAGAGUGCGGUAGGGGAGACUGGAAUUCCUGGUGUAGCGGUGAAAUGCGCAGAUAUCAGGAGGAACACCGGUGGCGAAGGCGGGUCUCUGGGCCGUAACUGACGCUGAGGAGCGAAAGCGUGGGGAGCGAACAGG
rnacentral:rRNA from 1 species